rnacentral:rRNA from 1 species
GACGAACGCUGGCGGCGUGCUUAACACAUGCAAGUCGAACGAUGAAGCUAGAGCUUGCUCUGGUGGAUUAGUGGCGAACGGGUGAGUAACACGUGAGUAACCUGCCCCGAACUCUGGGAUAACUGCUGGAAACGGUAGCUAAUACCGGAUAUGACCAAUGAAGUCAUCUUCUGUUGGUGGAAAGAAUUUCGGUUCGGGAUGGACUCGCGGCCUAUCAUCUUGUUGGUGAGGUAACGGUUCACCAAGGCGACGACGGGUAGCCGGCCUGAGAGGGUGAUCGGCCACACUGGGACUGAGACACGGCCCAGACUCCUACGGGAGGCAGCAGUGGGGAAUAUUGCACAAUGGGCGCAAGCCUGAUGCAGCAACGCCGCGUGAGGGACGACGGCCUUCGGGUUGUAAACCUCUUUUAGUAGGGAAGAAGCGAAAGUGACGGUACCUGCAGAAAAAGCACCGGCUAACUACGUGCCAGCCGCCGCCGUAA